CCUACGGGUGGCUACAGUGAGGAAUAUUGGUCAAUGGCCGGACGGCUGAACCAGCCAUGCCGCGUGAAGGUCAGUGCCCUAUGGGCGUUAAACUUCUUUUGUGCGGGAGCAAUAGUGGUCACGUGUGGCCCGACGAGAGUACCGUACGAAUAAGCAUCUGGUAACUCCGUGCCAGCAGCCGCGGUUAUACGGGGGAUGCAAGCGUUAUCCGGAUUUAUUGGGGUUAAAGCGCUCGUAGGCGGGAUGUCAAGUCAAGGGUGAAAUCCCCGCGCUCACCGUGGGAACUGCCUUUGAAACUGGCAAACUGGAGUGUGUGAGAGGAUAGUGGAAUGCCAGGUGUAGGAGUGAAAUGCGUAGAUAUCUGGAGGAACAUCAGUGGCGAAGGCGACUAUCUGGCACAUAACUGACGCUGAGGAGCGAAAGCGUGGGUAGCAAACAGGAUUAGAUACCCCGGUAGUC
rnacentral:rRNA from 1 species